UCUUAUUUACAGGGGGAGGAGGAAGAGAGGGGGGGGGUACAUUAAACAAUAUUAUAGACAGCGAGACGGAGACGCUCGAUACGACGUCAUCAAUAAUAAUAUAAAAGGUGACGUUAAAUACUUAGCUGCAGUCUUUGGUCGGGUGUCGAAGUGGGAACGACGUCUCGGAUUAGUCGAGCGAGUCGCUCAGACGAGGAGCAGCCGACGACUAUCAAGGAACAAUCCGCCGCCUUGGAUUACAAUUCCACAUCGAAACAUUCCUGUGAAGGAAUCCAAGAACUAUUUUAUAGAAAUAAUUAACUAGAAAUUUAUUUAAAAUUUUUAAUAAAAUAUUAGUGUUUUUUUAAAA